CGGUUSUGUGCAGGGCACCACGCUUGUGAAUCGGGGGGAGCUCAAAUUUAWAAUCUGGCGUCCUUCRGGCGUCCGAGUUGUAAUCUAUAGAGGCGUUUUCCGCGCCGGACCGCGUCCAAGUCCCUUGGAAUAGGGUAUCAAAGAGGGUGACAAUCCCGUACUUGACGCGACGACCGGUGCUCUGUGAUACGUUCUCAACGAGUCGAGUUGUUUGGKAAUGCAGCUCUAAAUGGGUGGUAAAUUCCAUCUAAKGCUMAAUAUUGGCGAGAGACCGAUAGCSAACAAGUACCGUGAGGGAAAGAUGAAAAGCACUUUGGAAAGAKAGUUWAACAGCACGUGAAAUUGUUGAAAGGGAAACKAU
rnacentral:rRNA from 1 species